rnacentral:misc_RNA from 1 species
AAAUCUUUGAUGUGUCAUUCAGAUUUUGCGCUUGAUUUCUGUUGUUAUUAUCAGCCUUUCUUGAAUACUGAGAACUGGAUGGGGUUUCAGUGGGCAAGCCUAAUUUUCUGGUAUCAAUGUAUGAGAAAUCAACAGAAGAAAGAAGGCUGGAUGAGAUAUUCAGCUUAGAUAAUGAUAAUGAUGGAAAAGAUACCCCUAUCAAGAAGCCAA